ACAGCCACAUCACGUUGAAACACUGGUUUCCGUAAGAACACCGAAGUUAAGCAAUGUCAAUCCUAGUCAGUACAUAGGUAACUGCUUGGGAAUACCAGGUGCUGUAAG